rnacentral:pre_miRNA from 1 species
AUACAUCACCACGAGACUUUUCAGUGUGCUUUGUCCUCACUCGCAUAAGAGCUCCAUGGUUAAGCGUGCUUAGCCUGGAGAAAUUCUGGGAUGGGUGACCUUCCAGGAUGUUUUCCCAGAAAGUGUGCGAGUGAGGAUAAAGCACACUGGAAAGUCUCGUGGUGAUGUGUG